CUCCGUCUGGUCGCACCGGUGCUCCAUGUGCUUGGGUAGGCCCGGGCUGGCCUGGGGUUGCAGGAAAGCACCCACUCUUGGAGCGCUGUCCACGUACUGAGAGUGACCUCAUUCAUUCAACACAUAUUUAUGGGGUGUUUUUAAUAUGCUGGAUGUUUUGUGGGAAAACAAGAUAUAUCAGGCAACGUGGUGUUCUCUGGAGCCUUUAUGCUGGGAGAAACUAUCAACAUUCCAAAAGCAAAAUUAGAAAAGCAAAGACUUGGAAAUUGUUUUUGGAAAUUAGGAGAACUGUAUAGUUCACAGAUCCCAAGCUGAGAACAGGGAGAAGUGGUGCAUGAAGUGAAGAGAAGCAUGGACAAGGUGGUAGCUGUUUCAAAGGUACCAGCAUCUCUGAACAGAGGAACACGUCCU
rnacentral:lncRNA from 12 species